GGUAACAUACACGUAUGCCUCAUUUACUCCACCAAUCACAUCCCUGUACUGGGACGCCCACAGAUACCUGUGUAUCCUGAUCAAUAAAAAUCCUCUUGCAGAUUGCAGCCUGUGGACUCGGUCUGGUCAUUGGGCUUGAGGAUCUCCCUCCUGAGGGAAGAUUCUCUCUGAGAGUCUUACAUAUGGGGGCUCGUCCGGGAUCGGAGAUCCUCUGCCUAGAGACCACCGACCACCCACCGGGAGGCUAAAAGACCUACAGGUGAUACAGAAAGAAAUCUGCUCACAGCUGACAGCAGCCUAUGCCCCGGGGACCCCUGAGACAUGUCAUCAGUUCCAGGUUAGAGACUACAGCUACACUGAGCCCAGACACUCGAGCCUCGCUGGAAAGGACCAUACCUGGUGCUGCUGACCACCCUGACAGCCAUCAAGUCUCAGCCCUCACCAGCAGCGUACUAGCUGUUGGGGCUGAGAGCUGGGACCUAGAGGGACACUCAGAUCUUCAAAAAGCUCCCUAGACUUAAGUGAUUGGGAGGUUGCUAUAAUGCUCACUUGAGGAGUGUGUUUUAGAAACAAGAAUUUCAUAUUUGCCUGUUUGCCCUGGGUUCCCUCGGAAUAGGUGUAAGGAUAGGCUUGAUUUUUAUUGCAAAUGAUGUAAUAUUACAUAUGUUAGUACUCCUAACACUUCUUGGGACUGUGCCUCAGGGAUCACAACCUAUAUAAGUUUAGAAGUUCUAAAAGACCUUGGUGUAUAGGUUCAGAUAGUGUCCAGAUUAGAAUCCUGAUGCUAAAGACUUAAUAAGACACAAAAGAGAGUUGAGAAUUAUUUAAGGCUAUCUAGGUGCUACAAGGGCAGCACAAGGACAUCUGCUAUUGCCCUAUAAUGCAAGGCUUAUAGAGAAUUCAGAACUGCCAUUGACUCAGAUAUGAAAAGAGUAAAAAAGACUUUUUAGCUGACCUCCAAGAACACCUAACCUCCCUCUCAGAGGUAGUCCUUCAAAAUAGAAAAAGAUUAGACCUGAUAUUCCUUAAAGAAGGAGUAUGUGUGCUACACUAAAAGAAGAAUGUUGUUUCUAUGCAGAUCAGAUAGGAAUAAUAAGAGAUAUAGUCUUUCAGUCAUUCAAACUUUUGUGCUGAGACAACAGUAUCAGAUGGUGAAACAACAAAAAACAGAGGUACCUUAACCAAGUUGAGUGGAAGAUUCCACUCAAGGACAAAAAGAAAAUGGGGGAAUGAAAGACCCCCUCCCAGAAAGGGAAUUGUACAAGCCCAAGGCCCUCAACUAUAGAAGUAAAAAGUAAGUUUUUAGAUAUGUGGGACAAGCUGAC
ensembl:lncRNA